rnacentral:tRNA from 1 species
GCCCUAGUAGCUUACCCAUAAAGCGUUGCCCUUGUAAGACAAAGCCGGACUAAACCCCUAGAGCA